rnacentral:rRNA from 1 species
GCGAGUGAAGCGGUAAAAGCUCAAAUUUGAAAUCUUCGGAAUUGUAAUUUGUCGGCUCUGGAAUUUUAUGGGAAGAAGUCUGCUGGAACGCAGCGCCAUGGAGGGUGAUAGCCCCGUUUCCUUUAAUUUUUAUUCUAGGGCCAAAGAGUCGGGUUGUUUGGGAAUGCAGCUCAAAGUGGGUGGUAAAUUCCAUCUAAGGCUAAAUAUUGGCGAGAGACCGAUAGCGAACAAGUACAGUGAUGGAAAGAUGAAAAGCACUUUGAAAAGAGAGUGAAAUAGUACGUGAAAUUGUUGAAAGGGAAGGGUGUGAGAUUGUGACUUGUGGGGUUGCCAACACAUGAAAAGGCGGAACCGUUUUCGGUUCUGUGAUAAUGUUUCGGCGACUCUCCAAGAGGCGGUCCCCCACCACCC